rnacentral:rRNA from 1 species
GGGUGAGACCUGAUGCCGAGCCGAUUGUGGUGAAGUGGAUGAUCCUAUGCUGUCGAGAAAAGCCUCUAGCGAGUUUCAUGGCGGCCCGUACCCUAAACCGACUCAGGUGGUCAGGUAGAGAAUACCGAGGCGUUCGGGUGAACUAUGGUUAAGGAACUCGGCAAAAUGCCCCCGUAACUUCGGGAGAAGGGGGGCCAUUUCCGGUGAUCCUAUUUACUGGGUGAGCUGGGGGUGGCCGCAGAGACCAGCGAGAAGCGACUGUUUACUAAAAACACAGGUCCGUGCGAAGCCGUAAGGCGAUGUAUACGGACUGACGCCUGCCCGGUGCUGGAACGUUAAGGGGACCGGUUAGUCAUCCUUUUGGGGGUGGCGAGGCUGAGAACUUAAGCGCCAGUAAACGGCGGUGGUAACUAUAACCAUCCUAAGGUAGCGAAAUUCCUUGUCGGGUAAGUUCCGACCUGCACGAAUGGCGUAACGACUUCUCGACUGUCUCAACCAUAGGCCCGGUGAAAUUGCAUUACGAGUAAAGAUGCUCGUUUCGCGCAGCAGGACGGAAAGACCCCGGGACCUUUACUAUAGCUUGAUAUUGGUGUUCGGUUCGGCUUGUGUAGGAUAGGUGGGAGACUGUGAAGCAUGCACGCCAGUGUGUGUGGAGUCGUUGUUGAAAUACCACUCUGGUCGUGCUGGAUGUCUAACCUGGGUCCGUGAUCCGGAUCAGGGACAGUGUCUGGUGGGUAGUUUAACUGGGGCGGUUGCCUCCUAAAGAGUAACGGAGGCGCCCAAAGGUUCCCUCAGCCUGGUUGGCAAUCAGGUGUUGAGUGUAAGUGCACAAGGGAGCUUGACUGUGAGACUGACGGGUCGAGCAGGGACGAAAGUCGGGACUAGUGAUCCGGCGGUGGCUUGUGGAAGCGCCGUCGCUCAACGGAUAAAAGGUACCCCGGGGAUAACAGGCUGAUCUUCCCCAAGAGUCCAUAUCGACGGGAUGGUUUGGCACCUCGAUGUCGGCUCGUCGCAUCCUGGGGCUGGAGUCGGUCCCAAGGGUUGGGCUGUUCGCCCAUUAAAGCGGUACGCGAGCUGGGUUUAGAACGUCGUGAGACAGUUCGGUCCCUAUCCGCUGUGCGCGUAGGAGUCUUGAGAAGGGCUGUCCCUAGUACGAGAGGACCGGGACGGACGAACCUCUGGUGUGCCAGUUGUCCUGCCAAGGGCAUGGCUGGUUGGCUACGUUCGGGAGGGAUAACCGCUGAAAGCAUCUAAGCGGGAAGCCUGCUUCGAGAUGAGGACUCCCACCCACUUGAUGGGUUAAGGCUCCCAGUAGACGACUGGGUUGAUAGGCCAGAUAUGGAAGCCUCGUAAGAGGUGGAGUUGACUGGUACUAAUAGGCCGAGGGCUUGUCCUC